CACGUAGGGCGCAAGCGUUGUCCGGAAUUAUUGGGCGUAAAGAGCUCGUAGGCGGUCUGUUGCGUCCGCUGUGAAAACCUCGGGGCGUUAACCCCUAGGCUGCAGUGGAUACGGGCAGACUAGAGGCAGGUAGGGGAGAAUGGAAUUCCCGGUGUAGCGGUGAAAUGCGCAGAUAUCGGGAGGAACACCGUGCGGAGGAAGGUCGCGGC
rnacentral:rRNA from 1 species